GGCUCAAUGGCUCAAUGGUUAAGAGCACUGGCUGUUUUCCCAGAGAACCUGGGUUUAAUUCCCAGGACCCG
rnacentral:tRNA from 1 species